rnacentral:rRNA from 1 species
UACGUAGGGUGCGAGCGUUGCCCGGAUUUAUUGGGCGUAAAGGGCGCGUAGGCGGUGAGACACGUUCGUUGUGAAAUCGCCCGGCUCAACUGGGCGGGGUCAGCGGAUACGGUCUCACUUGAGCAAGCUAGGGGGCAAUGGAAUUCCCGGUGUAGUGGUGGAAUGCGUAGAUAUUCGGAAGAACACCAGUGGCGAAGGCGACUGACUGGACAAGUAUUGACGCUGAGGUGCGAAAGCGUGGGGAGCAAACAGG